rnacentral:lncRNA from 1 species
GCGAUCCUCCUGCCUCAGCCUCCCCAGCCGCUGGGAUGACAGGCAGCACCUCCGUGCACCUGCCGGACAGACAGAUGGUCGUCUUAGUGGAGAAGAGCUGAGAAGAUGCUCUUGUUUCCAUAGCAACCCAGAGGGGGCAGCCCGGUGGACCGACAAGGUGUGGCAGGGAGAAGGUCAAGUGCACAACACCUUCCACAGGCCCUGGACCAUGGAUGGGAGGGGUUUUAUUUGCAUUUAAAAAAUUUGUUCUUCUCAGCUCUCCCUGACGGCAGCGAGCAUCCUGCCAUGUCCCACCUACACGGGGUGUGACGGCCCAUUCCUGUGGCUGGACCUGCUGUGGGGUGUCCCUGGUCGUGGGUUCCUCUGUGAACAUGGGAAAGUGACGUCCAUUCAUUCCCCUGUCUCUCCCAGUCCUGUCCCCUCCCUUCCCUCCACUCCCCUGUGUCUCAUCCAAUGAACUGCCAUUCCCCCCCUUGUUGUGAGUCAGUGUCCCCAUAUCAGAGAGGACACUCAGCCUUUGGUUUUGGGGGACUGGCUGAUUUCACUCAGCGUGAUCGUCUCCAGCUCCAUCCAUUUACCUGCAAAUGCCAUCCUUCUUGAUGGCUGAGUAAUAUUCCUCAUCCUUCUUGACGGCCAAGUAAUAUUCCACUGUGUACAUGGACCACAUUUUCUUUAUCCGUCCCUCUGUUGAAGGCCACCUCUGCUGGUCCCUAGCUUGGUGACUGUGAAUCGGGCUGUGAUGCACGCUGAUGCGGAAAGGUGGGAUUUUUACAAGGUGAACUUAGCCUCUAACCUGCAGGGACUCCCACACUGGCCGGAGGCGGGGGACGGGGUGGGGACACUGUGAACCUCAGAGCCUGUGCAGCAGCCUGAAAUCCAACCAAGAUGCAGACAACUCAGAUGUCCCUGAGGUUGGCUUCAAAAUCUCGUUGGUCACCUCUGGGCCUGCCAGGACCAGGGACAAUAGGGAUCUGUCCCUCCCCCCCCCGACCCCAGACCAUUCCAGGGCACAGCCCAGGGACAUCACGGAGGUGAAGAGAUGUGGCUGAAGGAGUUGAGGCUGGUGUCCCAAGCAUUUCUGUGGCCACCAACAGGGAGGAAAACGCCGUGUCACUGUGCUCUGGGCUCGGUGUCCCCCGCCAUCCACCCACAGGCCAGAGCAGCCCAGGGCAGGGACAUUCAUUGCAAGAGACUGUUUUUCAUCCUUGUUUUAUGUCCGAAUUGUUUCAAUGAAAGCAGAAGAAACAGCCACGGAGGGAUCUCGCCCUCAAGGACAUUCCAGCUUUGUCCCCGUGGCUGGGGAGGCCGAGGCAGGAGGAUGGCCAGGUGGAGGCCAGCCUGAGCCAAAGGGAGGCCCCGAGCGACCCAGCGAG